rnacentral:rRNA from 1 species
UACGGGGGGGGCAAGCGUUGUUCGGAAUUAUUGGGCGUAAAGGGCUCGUAGGCGGCCAACUAAGUCAGACGUGAAAUCCCCAGGCUCAACCUGGGAACUGCGUCUGAUACUGGAUGGCUUGAAUCCGGGAGAGGGAUGCAGAAUUCCUGGUGUAGCGGUGAAAUUCGUAGAUAUCGGGAGGAACACCGGUGGCGAAGGCGACCCGCUGGCCAGUAACUGACGCUGAGACGCGAAAGCGUGGGGAGCAAACAGG